GUCGAUUUUAAUAAUGAGUUAGAUGCCGCAGAAUGUAAGAUGUAGGUAAACGGACGCAAAAAUCCUUGUUUUACAAUGUCUGCAUCUCCGUAGUACUGACAUUUGAAAACUUUACUUUGCACAUACUUAUUUUAAGUACGAUAAAUGAAAGCGCUGUGGACUAGGAACAAGAGACAAAUUGCUUUCUUGUCCAAAUUGUCUCAGACCCUGUAUUUUCUUAGUCAUAGCCGUUUGUUAAGUAGGCAUUUGGUAGACUAUUGCAUGGAGGAUUGCGAGAGCAAGAUAUUACUAUCUGCGGUGGAAUGCUCGAAUUUCUUCUCUCAGCAAGGAUAAUGGGUAGCACAGUCUGACUUUAGACCCAUCCAGUGGUUCAGACUUAUAGAUAGUAUCCCAUACUUUACCGCAAUUCCUUGUUGAAUUAAGGCUUGCACUUCGAAUACAGACUACACACUUCUGGGUCUGUCUUGUACCACAUUGUCUGGCAUAGGCGCUCACUGUAUAUUUGUUGAAUGUUAAAGUUCUGUGCACCAAAACCGUGCACUUUGCAUCGAUUAUCUGCGAAAAGCAUGGUACACUAAAACUAGAUCUUGAAGAAUUCCCAUUUGAUCAUGAAUAGAGGUAAUCCACGUUUAAAAUACCAGGUGUUGCGUAAUCUCUACUUGGAGAUUAGCCACCCCGUGCGCCCAGGUGAAAGAUAUCAUUCUUCCGUGCGAUCCGAAGUGCCGUGGAAGUUAGUGCCCUAGCCCAGUCCAGGAGGAAGGGGCGUCGUGCCGGCGGUUUUAAGCUCGGAAGGGGCAGGGGAAUGAGCCCAGGGACCCCAGCGGGGCGCAG
rnacentral:lncRNA from 1 species